rfam:Ictidomys tridecemlineatus contig010910, whole genome shotgun sequence.
GGGGAUAUAGCUCAGUUGGUAGAGAGCUUGCUUUGCACGCACAAGGCUCUGGGUUCAAUCCCCAGCACCA